GGGCGUGUGGCUCAGUUGGUAGAGCGUUCGCUUAGCAUCUCAUCUCUCUCAUGGAGUUCGGUUCUCUGAUGCGAAAGGUCCUGGGUUCGAUUCCCAGCCCGUCCA